GGUCUCGUAGCUUAGUUGGCUAGAGCAUUGACUGUCCGAAAGCCUUCCCCUUGCUGGCAUGGGUUCAAAUCCCACCGAGGCCG
rnacentral:tRNA from 1 species